rnacentral:misc_RNA from 1 species
GAUGAAGAACGUAGCGAAACGCGAUAAGUAAUGUGAAUUGCAGAAUUUAGUGAAUCAUCGAACUUUUGAACGCACAUUGCGCCCGGCGGCACUCCGCCGGGCAUGCCUGUGAGCGUCAUUAUACUGCCCUCGACUCUCCGAGUCGGUGUUGGGAGCCUCUGCGCCCGUACGCAGCUCCCCAAGUCCACUGGCGUCGCGCCACGGUGCCCCUGCGUAGUAAUCUCACCUCGCUUGGGACCCUGGGUGCCGGCUGCCCUUCUCUCUCGCAGCAGGCUCUCUCGAGCCGGCUCUAGCACAGUUGACCUCGGAUCAGGUAGGGUUACCCGCUGAACUUAAGCAUAUCAAUAAGCGGAGGA